UACGAAGGGGGGCUAGCGUUGUUCGGAAUUACUGGGCGUAAAGGGUUUGUAGGCGGUUGAACAAGUCAGUGGUGAAAGCCCAGAGCUUAACUCUGGAAUUGCCAUUGAAACUGUUCAGCUAGAGAGUGUUAGAGGAAAGUGGAAUUCCCGGUGUAGCGGUGAAAUGCGCAGAUAUCGGGAGGAACACCGGUGGCGAAGGCGGUUCUCUGGGCCUUACCUGACGCUGAGGAGCGAAAGCGUGGGGAGCGAACAGG
rnacentral:rRNA from 1 species